rfam:Camelus ferus unplaced genomic scaffold scaffold2080, whole genome shotgun sequence.
GAGGGUAUAGCUCAGUGGUAGAGUUUGUGCUCAGUAUGCACAAGGUCCUGGCUUCAAUCCCCAGUACCUCCA